AAUGAACGUUGGCGGUGUGGAUUAGGCAUGCAAGUCGUACGCUCCGCAAGGGGCGUGGCGUAAGGGUGAGUAAGGCGACGGUAACCAACCCCGAGGCCGGGGAUAGCCGUGGGAAACUACGGGUAAUAUCCGGCGUUGCGUCUGGUGGGCAUCUUCCGGACGUGAAAGGUGCGAUUCCGCCUCGGGACGGGCCGUUGUGGUAUCAGCUUGAUGGUGGGGUAACGGCCCACCAUGGCAUUGACGCCUACCGGGCGUGCGAGCGUGGCCCGGCACACUGGGACUGGGACACUGCCCAGACACCUACGGGUGGCUGCAGUCGAGAAUCUUCGGCAAUGGGCGCAAGCCUGACCGAGCGACGCCGCGUGGAGGAUGAAGGCCUUCGGGUUGUAAACUCCUGUCGGGGGGGAACAAGGUGCCGUGCAGAGCGGUGCUUGAGUGAUCCCCGAAGGAAGCACGGGCUAAGUUCGUGCCAGCAGCCGCCGUAA
rnacentral:rRNA from 1 species